CGAAAGCCUGACGGAGCAAUACCGCGUGAGGGAGGAAGGCUCUUGGGUCGUAAACCUCAAAACUUAGGGAAGAAGCAAGUGACGGUACCUAAUAUAAGCAUCGGCUAACUCCGUGCCAGCAGCCGCGGUAAUACGGAGGAGGCAAGCGUUAUCCGGAAUUAUUGGGCGUAAAGCGUCCGCAGGUGGCAAUUCAAGUCUGCUGUCAAAGCACGGGGCUUAACUCCGUAAAGGCAGUGGAAACUGAAUAGCUAGAGUGCCGUAGGGGUAGAGGGAAUUCCCGGUGUAGCGGUGAAAUGCGUAGAGAUCGGGAAGAACAUCGGUGGCGAAAGCGCUCUACUGGACGGCAACUGACACUCAGGGACGAAAGCUAGGGGAGCG
rnacentral:rRNA from 1 species